rnacentral:lncRNA from 1 species
AAGGGAAAUGGGGAGAGAGACACUUUGUCCUCAUGGUUAUCACUUAAGAUGACAAUGCAAGUCAGUGUUGGAGUCAGGACUGAAAGCAAAUCCAAGCCCAUGAUCUAUCUAUCUAGUCCUUCCACUGAACUAACCUCUGAAGGGAGUUAGUCCCAGGAGAGCUUGCUGGGCACACAGAGAAACUUGACAGGACCGCAGAGCCGUGGGGUGGGGAUUCCUAAGCUGGCACAGAGCGUUGUUCUUACUGAUAGGACGAUGGUACUCAUGAGGCCCCAUUGUGUAGCAAGAAACAUUUACACUCUCAUGCCGACACUGUUGUUGUUGAGAAUGGGUCCAGUGCAGAACUGAGAUCUUUGGAAGUAGCUUCUUUCUUAUCUUGUGAGACUCUGGUUUAUUUGUAUGUGGAUACAGGCGUGCAGCUUACUAUCCCGGUUUAGAGACUUUGAAAGGAAGAUUAACUGAGUGUAAGAUAAGGACUGUGAGGUGGUGAAGACAGUUGACUGGAAGCAUGUGUCCAGGGAAGAGCAAAGCAUGAGUCCUGUGUGGUUAGAUGAGGGGCCCUUUUGUCAUAUUCUUUAGUCACAGGAAGAUGGCUUAAAAUCUCAAAAUGAACCAAGCAUAGUGUUAAGGUUUAUUGCAGUUUCUGGACUCAGGAGGCUGAGAAUCAUGAGAUCUAUAGGGCAGCCUAGGCUCUAAAGAAUGUUUGAGGCUGUCUCACCAUCCCCUCUCCAAAACUCUGGGAUUGACAAAUUUCAGACAAUAAAAGAAUGUAGAAUCAUGUUAAUAUUAGAGUUUAAGGUUAGAAAUGUGUUUGUAGACUAAAAUAACUAUAUGACUCCAAUGGUAACUUUGCUUUAUUCCCGUGGAGGAAAUCUCAUCGUAUUCGAAAAUUCAGAGCACAAAUCUCUCUGUUUGUACUCUGAAAAGAAUAAAAUAUUAACUGGUUAAAAAAUACCUAAGCUAAACCAGAAAGCAGGCAUUCUGGGAGGCCAAAGGAGGAACUAAGAACAAACUACCAUCUGGCUAGAGUGCAGUUACUGAGGCAAAACUCUUGCCUAACAUGUGGGAGGCCAUGGGUUUAAGUCUCCAGCAUUGCUGAAACCAAACCAAAAGAACAGGGAACCAGCAAGACAGCCUGAGUUCCACCCCACAUUGAAGCCCCAGCACCCACAUGGUGGAAGGAGUAAGUCAGCUUUUACCUGUUGACCUGUGGCUUCUACAUGUCAUAAAUAAAC